GACAGAGGGGGCAAGCGUUGCUCGGAAUUACUGGGCGUAAAGGGCGCGUAGGCGGUUUGGCAAGUCGGGUGUGAAAUCUCCGGGCUCAACUCGGAGAGGCCACUCGAGACUGCUAUGACUAGAGUCCGGUAGGGGACCAUGGAAUUCCUGGUGUAGCGGUGAAAUGCGUAGAUAUCGGGAGGAACACCAGUGGCGAAGGCGGCUCUCUGGGCCUUACCUGACGCUGAGGAGCGAAAGCAUGGGGAGCAAACAGG
rnacentral:rRNA from 1 species